ensembl:lncRNA
UGGACUUCCUGUUCGUUCGGGUCAUACCGGUGAGAGUGGGGUAAAAAUUGUCAAUGUGGUUUGAAGUGGACAAUGGUACUCCCCAGGGAAGUGAGACACUAUAAGCUGCAUGACCCUGAGAGUGCUUCUCCCACCACCAGCGCAUCAAAUUCAUAUACUAAUGACGACAUGGUCCUGAAAGCUCAGGAGACUGCUGAGGGGAGGACAGCUCAUAAUAAUGGCUGCAAUGAAGUGAAUGGAAUGGUAUCAAACACUUUUUCGAUACCUUUCCAUUAAUUCCGUUCCAGCCAUUACUAUUACCAAAUAAGGUGCGACCAACCUCGUGACCCUGAAAGUAUUUCUCCCACCACCAGUUUCCCGUGUGCAGAUACGAAAGACGACCUGAUCUUGAGACUGAUUCUCCCACCACAAGUAACGAGUUGGAAAAAAGACUGCCUGCCCAAGCUUUGAUGAGGCCUGAAAGUCAUAUUGUACCGUUGCAACCAAUAUGGCUGAAUAUCUUCGCCAGGCGACCAAAAGGACAAGAGGAACCGAACCCUUUGCUCUGACUCUCGUGUGACAAUCACCCCUACUCCAUGGCAUUCACUAUCAUGAGCAGGCUCUGGAGCAGAGGACAUUAUGUUUAGCUGUUUUACAAGAAUUCAUAUGGAAAAUGGAUACCUGGUAGGGGUUUGGGGGAGUAAAGGGUAAAGUGUUUACUUUUCUUCACCCCCUUUCCUCAGCUUUAAUUGCUGGGGCUCCUGUGAUUUUUGAAAUGAUGGAUUGUGCUAAAGUUUUUAUUUGUGUGUUCCUUAUUUGUUUAUCCUUUGCAUGACUUCACUUUGGAGCUGAAAUGAAUCAUUCAAAAUACACAUUUUGUAUUUUAUCUACAAUUUGUCAUGAUUGGCCAUAUGUCAUUUUAAGAAUUUCAUCGACUGUGUCGAAAUGUUGUAACAUUGAUUGUUAUGGUUAGACAUAUUUUGUACAUUUAGAGAAUUAACAGGUUCUGUAAUAGAGAAGUAGAAAAAUAACCCAGCAAUAAAGUAAGAAAUAACCCACGGCUGGGUCAAAAAUACAAAAAUAAAAAUAACCCAGCAAAAGAGUAAAAAGCAACCGACUGCUGGGUCAAAGUAAUCGCAUUUUGUGGUAAAUCAAGAAACCCAACGUGUUGGGUCAUUCACGUAACCCAACAGUGCUGGGUCAUUCACGUAACCCAACAGUGCUGGGUCAUUCACGUAACCCAACAGUGCUGGGUCAUUCACGUAACCCAACAGUGCUGGGUCAUUCACGUAACCCAACAGUGCUGGGUCAUUCACGUAACCCAACAGUGCUGGGUCAUUCACGUAACCCAACGUGUUGGGUCAUUCACGUAACCCCAACAGUGCUGGGUUAAAAUAGUUUUUGUGUGUAGGGAAAAGGGAUGACUAUGACAUUGAACCUCUGUAGAUAAGAUAUACUGUAGGUGUAUGUUAUUCCCAACCUUAAAAGUUUGGGGGAUAUUAAUGUUUACAUAAGGAAGAUGACCUUGGAUUAAAACCUCUACAGGAUUGGUGGUUCCCCCACGGGACGGUCGAGCUAACGUAGGCUCAUGCGAUUAGCAUGAGGUUGUAAGUAACAAGAACAUUUCCCAGGACAUAGAAAUAUCUUACAUUGGCAGAAAACUUCAAUUCUUGUUAAUCUAACUGCACUGUCCAAUUUACAGUAGCUAUUACAGUGAAAGAAUACCAUGCAAUUGUUUGAGGAGAGUGGACAGUUAUGAACUUAAAGUUAUUAUUAAACCAAUUAGCCACAUUUGGGCAGUCUUGAU